AUUUUGAUCAUGAUAUCUCCCAUACUAAACAGGGCAUCAUCUACAGUCAAGCCACUAGGUACCAUCGCAUAUGCUUUGAUCCUAAUGACCGUAAUUCUCAUCUAAAUGUACUCUCCCAAUCUAUGAGACAGAAAGGCUACAAACCAAAGACUUUUACCAAACAAAUCAACUCUGCUGUAAAAUCUCCACGCACGCGCCUGCUACAGUACAGAGAGAAAAGAAUAUAUCUACACGAGUGCCACUUGUGGUCAUCUACAACCCAG